rnacentral:rRNA from 1 species
GACGAACGCUGGCGGCGUGCUUAACACAUGCAAGUCGAGCGGUAAGGCCCUUUCGGGGUACGACGAGCGGCGAACGGGUGAGUAACACGUGGGUGACCUGCCCUCCAGCUCUGGGAGUAAGCCUCGGGAAACCGGGUACUAAUACCGGAUAUGACUCCAUGACGCAUGUUGUGGGGUGGAAAGCCUUGUGCGGCUGAGGAUGGGCCCGCGGCCUAUCAGCUUGUUGGUGGGGUGAUGGCCUACCAAGGCGACGACGGGUAGCCGGCCUGAGAGGGCGACCGGCCACACUGGGACUGAGACACGGCCCAGACUCCUACGGGAGGCAGCAGUGGGGAAUCUUGCGCAAUGGGCGAAAGCCUGACGCAGCGACGCCGCGUGAGGGAUGACGGCCUGUG